GAUGAACGCUGGCGGCGUGCCUAAUACAUGCAAGUCGAGCGAACGGAUGAGAAGCUUGCUUCUCUGAUGUUAGCGGCGGACGGGUGAGUAACACUUGGAUAACCUACCUAUAAGACUGGGAUACCUUCGGGAAACCGGCGCUACUACCGGAUAAUAUUUUGACCUGCAUGGUUCACACGUGAAAGACGGUCUUGCUGUCACUUAUAGAUGGAUCCGCGCUGCAUUAGCUAGUUGGUAAGGUAACGGCUUACCAAGGCAACGAAGCAUAGCCGACCUGAGAGGGAGGACGACCACACUGGAACUGAGAAAGAGUCCACACUCCGAGAGUAGGCAGCAGUAGAGAAUCUUCCGCGAGGGAGGAGAGCCGGACGGAGCAACACGGCGGGAAUGAUGAAGGACUUAGGAUCGGAAAACGCUGUUAGUAGUAAGAUAGAAAUAUUUUUGUAACUGUGCAGAUCUUGACGGUACCUAAAGAAAAAGCCACGGCUAACUACGUG
rnacentral:rRNA from 1 species